UGCUCUUGUGGUUUAAACCCAGGACACUUGCUAUGCUAGGAAAUAAAUUUUGACUUGUCACACCUUUCACAGAUGGCUUAACACCCUGUAACGUUCAGUCUUUGAAAAGCCUGGUAAAUACUUCUUUUAUAAAGUAUGCAGGGGUUUAAACAAGAUUUUUGGAAUAAUUAGUGCCACGUUAAUAGGGUGUUUUGGUUUGCUUUUUAUAUAUCUAAGAGAGAAGCAAAGAUUGAGAGAAAAAAUAUUUAAGAAAAGGCAAUAUUAGAGUGAACAGAACUUAAGAAGUUGGUACAGACAUUGGAGUGUAAGUGACCAGUUAUGGGCCAGCUGGUGUGGAAGCAGAAACUCUGGUCCUGCAUUAGCUGGUUUUGGUAGCCUCUGAGGCCAUGUCAGGUGAGAGUGAUCUUCAGAAAUGAGAUCAUUCUUGCUAGUGCUGUGCUGCAGCACUGCGUGAAGGCUGUUUGACAAGGGAGCAAAUCUGUAGGACACAAUUUCUUUUUGUUGUGACAGAAGUUGGCUUGUUCACAGUCUGGUGUAGCAUCAUAAAUGCUCAGUCUGUUUGUUAGUAAAUUGUUUUCCAUGUAUCGCUGAUGAGGUCCUUUUUCUGUUUGCUACCUAUUAGGAUAAUGCUAUGAAUGGUGUGAUUUCACACACCAAAUUUAGAGUGAUUUCCGUUUAUCUUCUAGAGGAGAGAAAGGAUGGAGUGGAGGGUUUUGCAACCAUGACACUACUGAGAGAAAUGUGUUGAAAAGUUGGAACAUCUGUUUGUCAUGCUGUCUGCUGGUGAAGUUGUUCUGGCCAUGUAAAACAGGUAACAGCUUUAGGGUUCUGCUUCAUUUGUGGAUUCCCUUCACUCUCACAAACUGUUUCAACACUGAAGACCUCUUUGAAAUUUAAAGGCUGAAGAACUGGAAAUUUCAGUGGAAAUGAACAUCUGAUGGAAGUGAGACUCAGCCCAGAAUCCUAAUUGGCAUGAGAACAUCUUUUGAGUAGUAGUAACUCAUUCACAAAGGUAGGUUCAGUCUUUAAAUUUUAGUGAUUCUUGUCUUAGCUAUGCCUGUGAGAUUAGGUUAAAUUCCAGAAGCCUGAUCCAAAUCUUAUUAAAUUCAGUGGAGGGACUGUAGAUCCAAAAUGGCCUGAUUUGGUUUAAACUUUUUCCAUAAUGAGAAAAGCUGUAUAGUAUGUAUUGUUCCAGAGAGGAGGUUUCCUUAUUUAUUACUCAGCAAGAGAACUUGGAUUUGUAGUUGUGGAUAGCUGACAGUAAAGAGAAUUCUAACAGGAUUGUGGAUUUUGUAAUUGUAACAUACCUGUGCCUCCAUGUAAAUGUCUCCUUUAAAAAUUUCACACUGCUGUUCUCAAUUCUGUCCUGCACCUUUACAGUAUCACGUAGCAAUAGCAUCAACCACGUCAUUCUUAUUGUUGGUAAAACUUCAAAAGAGAGCCCAGAGUUUUGGUGAAGGUAAGUCUGAAAAUUAUGGGUGUGGGGAAUGUGAGUGUUGGUUUAUCACACAAGCUUACUAAAGCAAAUGAAUAACCUUGCUUCUCUGUGAUUCCCCCCUUUUUACCUCCUUCUCCAGAUAACGAUGCUCAAACUUCACAUAAACAGCUGGCAUACUGUGGAGGGCCUGAUAAGCGGAUUUCUUCAUCCAUGCUAAGUCUCUGUUAUAUCAUGUAGCCGUCCCAUUAUCUUGUGUGAAAUGCUUAUUGCAGUUUCUUCCAUUGGGUCUCCUAUAUACAUUAUCUAUAAUGCAUAAUGGAGUGUGUGUAUGAAUGAAGGACAAUAUCCCACAAAGCAUGAAAAUUACUUGGUCUGUCUUUAUUCGUUGUUAGAUAAGCUCUGAAUAUCUGGUCUUUGUUUAAUUUUAAAUAUCCAUGGAAUAGUCCUUCCAAGCAGAUAUUUUCCAUAACUGAUAUCCUUCAAGUUGUGCCAGUAUCUCUUUUGGGAAUGGAGUGUCUGGAACCAAAUGAAAGACUCCAGACAGAGUCAAACACAGGCUCAACUGGACUGUGUUGCCACUGUCUUUGUGGGACUUGCAGCCCUAGGACCUGGCUAUGAUUAAAACCCACCAUGAUGUGACUCCAGCUGAGCUAUUGGAACAAGAAGAACCAGAAAAGACUGCUCCUGUUUUUAUUCCAAAGCAGAAUCCUUUGGUCAG